rnacentral:lncRNA from 1 species
AGAGUUACCAGGGCAGGCCACCGGACCCCUGAGCUUGCUUAAUAACCGGAGGAUUUGAGAAAGGCGCGCGGCGGGCGAAGGUACCGAGAGGGGAGGAGGGAGGAGAGGUAGCGGGGACCGAGCCAGAGGGGCGGAAGAACCCGGAAGACCCAGGCAGCCGGACGGCCGAGGGGCGUGGGACCGGGCAGAGCGGGACCGGGAGAGAGCGCCUUUCCCAGCUCCCUAAAGCCACAGCGUAUCCCACUCCCUGCAGGUCGCAGAAAGAGUGGAGAACUGGUGCCACUCGGACACCUUAGCUCACCGAGAGAAAUGGAGACGGCCUCCAGGACAUCUUAGGACCCUGGUUGAUUCCGAGAAUCACAAAUCACAUCUCUGAAAAAAGUGAAAAGUUCAUUCUUUCACUUAGUGCAACAAAUGUUUACUGAAACUUACUAUGUGCCAGACACAAUUGAGAUGCUGGUAAUAUGAUGCAGGCAAAGUAGGCCCAGAUCCCUGGCCCGAAAGAAUUCACGUACUAUUUAUGUAUUUUAGUCAGCCUGUCUUUUCCUCCUACAUUGCCUCUGCCACUUCAACUCUGUCUCCCCCCACCCCCAAAACACACACACAGUACAAUAUUUGGCUGAUUCAUCUUGAUAUGUUCAAUGUUUUUCUUUCCAAGAAAAAAGUUGAACAAAAUGAGAAAGCAACAGAUUGGUAAGACAUUAGAGCUUGGUGGUCUCAGACAACCCCUUCCUUCAGUGAGGGGAAUGAAAUUAAGUGCCCAUGGAAUUAAUUGCAUAUAUGACAACGCCUAAAAGCCUGCAAAGUUUAGCCAUAUCAACAUUUUAUGGAAUGGAAAAAAAGAUCAAGUCCCUGUCCUUGAAAGCUCAUAUUCAUGAGAAAUAAGACAGCAGCACCAGGCUGGGCGCGGUGGCUCACGCCUGUAAUCCCAACACUUUGGGAGGCGGAGGCAGGCGGAUCACAAGGUAAGGAGUUCGAGACCAGCCUGGCCAACAUAGUGAAACACCGUCUCUACUAAAAAUACAAAAAUUAGCCGGGUGUGGUGGCACGCUCCUGUAGUCCCAGCUACUCGGGAGGAUGAGGCAGAAGAAUUGCUUGAACCCGGGAGGCGGAGGUUGCAGUGAGCCGAGACCACGCCAUUGCACUCCAGCCUGGGUGACAGAGUGAGACUGUCUCAAAAAAAAAAGCACCAAACAUAUUUCCCUUUCUAUAAUGUGUGUACUAAAGUUGUUUUGGAAGGUGGAAGAGGAUGUUUGCUUGUCAAAUUGUAAUACAAUCCUGAAGAGGGCAAUGGGAAUCGAAAGCCAAAAAUUAGUGUAGGCUUCCAAAUAAAGUAGGUUCAAGGUGCUACCUUAAUGAAGAUUCUUAACAGCACACAGCAGAGGUGUUGUUAUAAAGGUGGAAUAAGUACACCCACCAAAAGCGACAAGAUCUAAGAAUGAGUAGGAUAAAAAGAUCUUAGUCCAUUUAGGCUGCUAACACAAAUGCCCUCAACUGGGUAGCUCAUAAACAACAGAAAUUUAUUUCUGACUGUCCUGGAGGCUGAGAAGUCCAGGAUCAAGAUGCCAGCAGAUUUGGUGUCCGGUGAGGACCUGCUUUCUGAUUCAUAGAUGGUGCCUUCUUUGUUCUCACAUGGCAGAAGGGGCUGGCUAGCUCUCUGGGGUCUCUUUUACAAGGGUACUAAUCCCAUUCAUGAGAGGCCAGCCCUCAUGACCUGUUCACCUCCCAAAGGCCCUACCUCCCUAUACCAUCACCUUAGCAGUUAAGAUUUCAACCUAUGAGUUUGGUAGGACACAAAUAUUCAGACCAUAGCAACAUUGAUGAGAAGAUCCACAGAAAUCCUGGAAUCCAGCGAGGAAUAAAUCAAAGCAUAGUACCUUUGGUAGAUUCAUUCAUUUCAUGGUUCCCAGAAAGGCAUCUUUACCAUCCAGCUCAAUGAAGUCUUUUCAAAAACUCAUCAUUCCUGGCCAGGCACAGUGGCUCACGCCGGUAAUCCCAGCACUUUGGGAGGCCGAGGUGGGCAGAUCACGAGGUCAGGAGAUCAAGACCAUCCUGGCUAACAUGGUGAAACCCUGUCUCUACUAAAAAUACAAAAAAUUAGCCAGACAUAGUUGCGGGCGCCUGUAGAGCCAGCUACUCGGGAGGCUGAGGCAGGAGAAAUGCGUGAACCCAGGAGGUGGAGCCUGCAGUGAGCAGAGAUCGCCCCACUGCACUCCAGCCUGGGCGACAGACCGAGAUUCCAUCUCAAAAAAAAAACAAAAAAAAAUUCAUCAUUCCUUUGUUUUCAGUUGAUCAAAGGUUUUAAUUCCCUAUUACAAUGAAAUAGAUGUUAGGAUGCAUAACAAACUCAGUUGCAUCUGUCUUUAUGUGCUUUAAGAUGAAUGACUUUAAGUCCAGGCGCAGCGGUUCACACCUGUAAUCCCAGCACUUUGGGAGGCUGAGGCAGGUGGAUCACAAGGUUAGGAGUUCAAGACCAGCCUGGCCAAGAUGUUGACACCCCAUUUCUACUAAAAAUACAAAAAUUAGCCAGGCGCAGUGGCAGGCGCCUGUAAUCCCAGCUACUCAGGAGGCUGAGGCAGGAGAAUCACUUGAAUCCAGGAGGCAAAGGUUGCAGUGAGCCGAGAUCACGCCACUGCACUCCAGCCUGGGCAACCGAGCGAGACUCCGUUUCAAAAAAAAAAAAAAUGAUGAAUGGCUUUAAUCCUUGGAUAUACUAUCAGGAUCAGGAUCUACUGGACCCAACUUUAGCCUUUCAGGGUUGUUUUUUUGUUUUUGGGCUCUACUCUUAAGGAUUGAUAUUUCAUGAUUUUUUGUUCCUUCGUAGAAGUCUUCCAAACAACAAAGAGAAAAUUUAUUUUCUAAAAAAAUAGAUGUGGUGACUCACACCUGUAAUCCUAGCAGUUUGGGAAGCUGAAGGGGGAGGAUCCCUUGAGCCCAGGAGUUCAAGACCACCCUGGAAAAUAUGGUGAAACCCCAUCUGUACCAAAAAUAUAGAAAAAUUAGCAGAGCGUGGUAGUGUGUGACUUUAAUCCCAGCUACUCAGGAGGCUGAGGUGGGAGAGUAACCUCAACCCAGGGAGGUCAAGGCAGCAGUGAGCCGUGAUGGUGCCAUUACAUGACUGUGCCACUGCCUGGGCGAUAGAGUGAGAUUCUGUCUCAAAAAUAAAAUACAUAAAAUUAAAAAAUAGAAUAAAACUCAUUCUAUUUACAAUUCCCAUAUAGAUCCAUUGGACCCUUAUACAUCUAGGACACAUAGUGGGAUUUACUAAUUUUUUUUUUUGUAUGUUGAAACGUUCUGCUACUUCAUCAUCCAUAGAAUUAUUUCAUCCUUACUGAUCAAUUAUUCCAAGCUAUGCUUUAAAAAAGAUGAAAGUCAGGCUGGCGCAGUGGCUCACGCCUAUAAUUCCAGGGAUGUCACCGUGUUGGCCAGGCUAGUCUUGAAUUCCUGGCCUCAAGUGAUCCG